UACGAGGGGGGCGAGCGUUGUUCGGAAUUAUUGGGCGUAAAGGGUGCGUAGGCGGUUUGGUAAGUCUGAUGUGAAAUCUAUGGGCUCAACUCAUAGUCUGCAUCGGAAACUGCCAGGCUUGAGUAUGGGAGAGGUGAGCGGAAUUCCUGGUGUAGCGGUGAAAUGCGUAGAUAUCUGGAGGAACACCGGUGGCGAAGGCGGCGUUCUGGACGGCAUCUGACACUGAGAAACGAAAGCCAGGGGAGCAAACGGG
rnacentral:rRNA from 1 species